UAAGCCAUGCGAGUCGAACGAGUUUAGGCUCGUGGCGUACGGCUCAGUAACACGUGGAUAACCUACCCUUAGGACCGGGAUAACCCUGGGAAACUGGGGAUAAUACUGGAUAGGCAAUUUUUCCUGUAAUGGUUUUUUGUUUAAAUGUUUUUUCGCCUAAGGAUGGGUCUGCGGCCGAUUAGGUAGUUGGUUAGGUAAUGGCUUACCAAGCCGUUGAUCGGUACGGGUUGUGAGAGCAAGAGCCCGGAGAUGGAACCUGAGACAAGGUUCCAGGCCCUACGGGGUGCAGCAGGCGCGAAACCUCCGCAAUGUGAGAAAUCGCGACGGGGGGAUCCCAAGUGCCAUUCUUAACGGGAUGGCUUUUCAUUAGUGUAAAGAGCUUUUGGAAUAAGGGCUGGGCAAGACCGGUGCCAGCCGCCGCGGUAACACCGGCAGCUCUAGUGGUAGCAGUUUUUAUUGGGCCUAAAGCGUCCGUAGCCGGUUUAAUAAGUCUCUGGUGAAAUCCUGUAGCUUAACUGUGGGAAUUGCUGGAGAUACUAUUAGACUUGAGACCGGGAGAGGUUAGAGGUACUCCCAGGGUAGAGGUGAAAUUCUGUAAUCCUGGGAGGACCGCCUGUUGCGAAGGCGUCUAACUGGAACGGUUCUGACGGUGAGGGACGAAAGUUAGGGGCGCGAACCGGAUUAGAUACCCGGGUAGUCCUAACUGUAAACGAUGCGGACUUGGUGUUGGGGUGGCUUUGAGCUGUUCCAGUGCCGAAGGGAAGCUGUUAAGUCCGCCGCCUGGGAAGUACGGUCGCAAGACUGAAACUUAAAGGAAUUGGCGGGGGAGCACCACAACGCGUGGAGCCUGCGGUUUAAUUGGAUUCAACGCCGGACAUCUCACCAGAGGCGACAGCUGUAUGAUAGCCAGGCUGAUGACUUUGCUUGACUAGCUGAGAGGUGGUGCAUGGCC
rnacentral:rRNA from 1 species